rnacentral:tmRNA from 1 species
GGGGAUGCAAUUGCAUCGACAAGAUUUGCUCUUUAAAAACUGCAAGCCGGCGAGACUCACAGCCGUUAAACUAGGUCAAAAUAUAAAUGCUGGAAGAAAUUCCCGCGUUCAAGCUAAUUGGGCAUUUGCUUAAUUAAAUUGAACUGUUCAUAACGUCUUUUCUCAAUGGGACUUUUUGAGCAUAAAUACAGUUGAGAAAUUAAUAAGGAAAGCGAUUAAGUCCUUAUCAAAUUUAUAAUCUUGGUUUUAUUUAUUCCUUUCUAUCGGAAAAGAAUAAAACGACUUUUAAAGAUAGGAUAAGCUUGUAGAAGUUUUUAAAAUGUUUUCUUGGACUCGAGUUCAAUACUCGACAUCUCCACAU